UAUCAAGAUUCAUUAUGUACCAUAUGAAUGAAUGGACGACUUGGUUAAGAAUAGUUAUCGUUUAUAGCUUCGAUUGCAGACUACACAUUUACACAGACUCCCUAACAUAGCCAAAAUGACACGUCGUUGUAGCUGUUGUGGCUUGUCUUCCACCACCAUCACCACCAAGUCGGCCUUGAUUCAGUCGAGUUAUGAUCGAAGGCAUGCCAGUCAUGACCAUCUCGUCUUUAUAUUGAGAAUCUGUAUGUUGGACUACAUUAUCUGCAGAAUCUUUUAUUUUUUUUUUAUCUUCAUCUUAAAAGAUACGAGGAUGUAAUCUGAGUGAAAAUUCGGCUACUAUUUACAGCAGAUCGAAGAGAAAAUGGCUUUACAUUGUUUCCACAUUGAGGAAAACCUGCUGCUCCCCCAAAUCCUCUUUGGUAUGUUGUUGAUCUGGUGAAUAUCGAACCUCGGACGAUACGUUCUGUAUUUGGUUUUACUACUUGUGAAAAUUGAGGAAAAAAACCCCCCAAAAAACCCCAAAGAAAUAUUUGCAAGGACGCUGAAAUAGUUUGCCAGGGACGCCAGAACUCUAAGAACUAAAUGAUGAAGAACAGCAACGGAGUAACCGUGCAGUUUCUGGAUUUGAACUCGAAUCUACGUAACAGACAGUUUUGUGACCACAUCAGCAAGCCUGUGUCCAUCUGCAAGCAUUCUCUAAUGUUUGCCAAAAUUGCAACUGGUAAGAUAAUUGGAAGAAGAAGAAACGAAGCAGAGACCGAUUCUUUGAUAUUUCAACACUCCAGUUUUAGGAGAAUGAGAACAAAAAGAAAAAAAAAAAGAGAAAAAUAGAGGCAAACGAAACUGAUGAAAGCAACAGAAAGUGAUGCAAUGAUUACUUCUACCUGUAGUCUGAAGGAAACCACACCUUUCUCAUCAGUAGAAGAGAAUGUGUAUUUAUAUGUCAUCAAAUUUAACCAUCAGGUCAGCGAGUGACGUGCAGUAUCUCUUGUUAAUGCUUUUAAACGUCACAAUAAGAUUACGAUAUCGGUCAUUGAAGUAACACGCGGUUGUACCAACAUAUACAAAUGCUUCUGCUGUACAUUUGUAUAUCACGUUCUUACGAAGGCAUAUAUUUCCCGGAGGAUAGGCGUCCCUGUCCAUUUCUUUGUCACAUUAUUUUCUAGUCCAUAACUACUAGUUUUCUCCUAUUUCUAAUUUUUCCUUUGUUACUGUGGUUAUUAUUAGUGCUGUUGAUAUAACCUUCAUUACUUUCAUUGUUGUUCAUAGUAGUAGUAGUAGUAACUACUACUACUACUACUACUACUACUACUACUACUACUACUAUACACACACAAAAGUGACAGUGAAAACCAUGAAACCCGAAAAUGAAACCGAAAAUGCCGAUCAGGUCGCAUUUCUGUUGAAGUCAUCACACGUGAUCAGCAGCUGCCCAAAAUUUUCAUCAAGGUACUUCCUCCCAAUCCGACACAAUAUACAAUGCCAUGUGCAAGGGAAAAGGCUAUCCUGGCAUAUACAUGGAGAACCAUCCUGUUAUUUAAUACAUGCAUAAACGUAAAGAAGAGGGAUAUUGGUGAAACAUUCCUAUCAAAACUUCUAUCAAGUGGAAACAUAAUAGACUGAAUACUGUUUCGGACAGACAAGAAAAAUAUGUAACGUCAUAGAAGUCGGCUGCUCUGCUAAUGUGAAUAUCUUUUCGAAAAUCAAAGAAAAAGCAGGCAACUACAGACAACCGCUUCGCAAUCCCCCAGUUUCUAUACCUAGAUUACAAAUAUUUACCUGUAAUAAUUUGUGCUCUUGGUUUAGUGACCAAAUGCCUCAGUGAUAAUCUUGAUAAGCAGGGGUUUUCAGAAAAAAAUUCAGUCUGCGAGCACGCACAUUACAAAUAUAAGUAAUCGGAACGUUAAAAUACCAAGACAUUUUCUCUCAUA